CUGAUGUCCCAGCUCAAAGACAGUCAGCCGGAGUUUCAUCAUGUGGCAAACUGAUUCACCUGCCUCAAAAGACUGCUGCAGAGUCUAAAGAAGAUAAUAUGGAAAUAUAUAGUGUUGCGCUCAGUACAGAGAAGAUGCUCAACAGAUGUUGGUCUAAUACGGCCUCGUGACACAGUGAGAAAAACUGAAUAUUGUCACACAUACCUUAAGUUUGGGCAAAGGAUUUGAGAAGGAUGAACCUUCAGACAUAGAGCAAGUCAUGGAUUAAGUACCAAGGUAAGAUUAGAACGGACGGGGGCAAGUUAUCAGCUUCCAGAUGGCAUAGAAACCACCUUUCCUUCACAGCUCACUCAGCCCCAAUGCUCUGAGCAUGCCCUGUUACAUCUUGCUAUUGGUAAAGCUGCAUGUUAACUUCAA